rnacentral:lncRNA from 1 species
AAUAAUAGCAUCCCACGGAACCUCAGCUGGAUUUCUUCUUAUGGCCACAUCAACCUGUAAUAAUGCAAUCUAGGAUCGUUGGUAGAAACAUGUCAUUUCCAACGUUGUUUUUGCAAAAAUAAAUAAUAUUUAAAAUUAAAAUAAAUAUACAAAUGUAUUCAUACGUAAAUAAAAAUUAAUAAUUAUAAAUUAUUUUUUUACUGAUUUUAAAAUAGAUCCAACGAGGUGUCUAAGUUAAGUUAUGAAUGUUUGAAAAUCAUCUGCCACAUUAAUUAUCUCAUAUGUUAGCACAUGAACUAUAACAUCAACAAUAUACAUUUUCUCGACCAUAACCUUCACCACAUUAGGUGGAACUACAUUUGUAAAAUAGUGACCUCAAGACUUUCCCCAAGAUCACCAGCCAAGGAAUAAAAUCAUCUUCCACAUAUAACUCACAUUCGCAUGUCGAGCCAAUGUCAUCAUCCUCUUAUUGAUUAUCAGCUGCAUAACUCCGCAUGUUCUAACUAUCAUUGUGGAAGCCAUAAAGCUCUGUUGUGCAGGAGGUGUUAUGAUAAACCUAAGAUCUUGAGGGGCUGCUCAAACAUAUACCUCAACUUCUUAGUAACCUCCUCUAUCACCUCCUAUGUGAUAUGCUAUCUCAAUAUAGAAUGGCUUCCUGACUGGGUAUAAAUAAUUUAAAUAAUAAUUUAAUUUAACUAAGAAUCUAAUUAAUAAUCUAACUAACUAAUUAAAUUUAACUUUACAAUUAUAAUUAAAAUAUUAUCGAUUAAUAAAUAUUAUCUAACAUAUACUACAUUCAUGAAAAAUAAUAAUGACAAACAUUAAAAUAAAAUAAAAUAAAAAAUACCAUAAAAAUUUAACUAACCUAGUGAAGGAGACAUAGGUGGCCGACUGUGACGGAGGUGGCUGCAAGUGGCUGGAGGACCAAAGAACCAACACAUAAUGCGUGGCUAUGGAGGAACGAUGGUUCUUUACCAACUCAAAAUGCAAAUAAAACUCACACCAA